rnacentral:rRNA from 1 species
AUUGAACGCUGGCGGCAGGCCUAACACAUGCAAGUCGAGCGGAGCGGCGGACGGGUGAGUAAUGCCUAGGAAUCUGCCUGGUAGUGGGGGAUAACGUACGGAAACGGGCGCUAAUACCGCAUACUAGCAGAUGAGCCUAGGUCGGAGUAGCUAGGUGGUGGGUUAAAGGACUACCAAGGCGACGAUCCGUAACUGGUCUGAGAGGAUGAUCAGUCACACUGGAACUGAGACACGGGCCAGACUCCUACGGGAGGCAGCAGUGGGGAAUAUUGCACAAUGGGCGCAAGCCUGAUACAGCCAUGCCGCGUGUGUGAAGAAGGCCUUCGGAUUGUAAAGCACUUUAAGUUGGGAGGCGUUACCAACAGAAUAAGCACCGGCUAACUUCGUGCCAGCAGCCGCGGUAAUAC